GUAGGUGAACCUGCGGAAGGAUCAUUAACACUUUAUCCUUUAUAUAAACAACUGUGAACAUGUUACCCUACCUGUCAGUUCCACUAACAAUGGAAGGAAUCGUCAGUAUAGUUUUUUGGUUUAACUAUUCUGGCUAGAAGUCUCUGAGCUUCAAGAUUUUACUGAUAGGCAUUUUUAUUAACCAUUAAUUUUAACAACUUUAACUUUAAACUGAACUAAUCUAUGCUUCUCUAGCAGCAAUGCUAGUAGA
rnacentral:misc_RNA from 1 species